rnacentral:tRNA from 3 species
GGGCCCGUGGUAUAGUGGUAACAUGCGUCCGUGGCACGGAUGAGUCGGGGGUUCGACUCCCCCCGGGUCCACCU